rnacentral:tRNA from 1 species
AAAGAAAUAGACUAAGUUUAGUUAAGUCAUUAAAUUCAUAAUUUAAAAAUAAAAAAAUUUUUUUUCUUUA